rnacentral:rRNA from 1 species
UACGAAGGGGGCUAGCGUUGUUCGAAAUUACUGGGCGUAAAGCGCACGUAGGCGGACUGUUAAGUCGGGGGUGAAAGCCCAGAGCUCAACUCUGUAAUUGCCUUCGAUACUGGCAGUCUUGAGGACGGGAGAGGUGAGUGGAAUUCCUAGUGUAGAGGUGAAAUUCGUAGAUAUUAGGAAGAACACCAGUGGGGAAGGAGGCUCACUGGCCCGUAUUUGACGCUGAGGUGCGAAAGCGUGGGGAGCAAACAGG